ACUAGUAUCUUCUAAGUGUAAUCCAUAUAGAUAUUAAGAAAACAAAAUUUAAGGAGACCUCCUACCAAACAUCUUUCAAGGUUUGUUUUUUUUGUUUUGUCUUUUCAUUUCCCAGAUAUGCUUCUACUAUUAACCUAUAGGGGGAAAAACCUGCAUUACCUCUGUACUGGCCUCUGUUGGCCUCUUUCUUCCUUAACCCAUUUCCUAUUUAGAAAAAAAAAAUGCAGCUCGAUGCAGGUGUUCAUUUAAUUUUACAUAAACACACUCUUUGAGGUUGAAGCAAAUCUAACCGACUUUCAAUGUGAAAAUAAAAUAUAAACAGUUAUUGGAGUUAUUUCUAAACAGAACUUGUCUGUAAUCCUAAUGUAAUAGAAAUGUAUAUGAUUAGAAUUAGAGAUAAGAGUAUUCUUGGGGCAAAUGGGAAAUGGGUUAAAUUAUGCCUUUUAUCCAUGUUUCCAUCUUUGGUAGAAAGAAUAGAGGUUCAUCAAUGUUAAUUUCUCUUAUACACACCCUAAGUGACCCAGCUCUUUCUUUUUCUGAAGUGGGCUCUUUACCCACAUGAGCCCCUCAACUUAAAGAUACAAGAUCUAAAGAGUGGCCUCAAAGCAGCUUCAUUCCUCUAAACAUUACCUAAACUCAGAAAUGAUUUAGUAUCUUUUUUUAGAAAAAUUAAUAAAAAUGCAUUGUAUUCAUUUGUUUGAACUACUUGCCAUUGAUAUUUAUUCACCACAGAGGAAAAUAACAACUAUUUUUAGAAAUAUACAUACAGAAUUAAAUUCACUGAAUUUUUCAUUGGAACAUAAUUCUAAAUGCAGUUCCAUGUUGCUUAUCUAGCAAAACCAUAGGCUCAAAUGUUUAAAAAUACUUUGAUGGACAGCAACUUUUGGAACUGUGUCAGGGACAGAAUUUAGACAGAGAUUGGCUUUUACAGAAUGCUUAAACCAGUUAUUUUCAAACUUUUUGGCAAUGACCCACAGUAGAACGCAUUUGAUUUUACAACUCAGUAUAGGCAAAACUUUAAACACAUAUACAAAUAUAUAAUAUAGACACACAGGAUACUUAAAAAGGGUUUCAUAAAUGCAUUCUUACGGCAUUGUGAUAUUUUCUAUUAUUUUCAUUUAGACAAACAAUUAUCAUUGCCUAUUACAUUUAUUCAGAACCCGUUAGUGUGGUCAUGACCUGCAGUCUGAACAAAGCUACUUUAAACUCUGGUUGUGGCAUGGUAUGUGUUAGGUCUAUUUUCAGACUGUCUUAAGGAACCAAAUCUUCCCAUGAUUUAUCUAGGAAAGAAGUUUUCCAAGUUCUAAAACCAAUUUGCAAACAACUUGCAGAACUCAGUUCAUUCAUAAAUAAUGAUACAGCUAUACUUUCUUCAAAAUGUCAAUUUUUUUAACCAGCACAUAUUCAUAGUUUUACAUCACCCAUGCUUGGAGAAUAACUCAAAACAGGAGCUUUAAACAAUUCUGUUCAGUGUCACACUAAGGUUCAAUAAUUGUAUAUGUCUCUGUUCACAGCAUCGUUUUUCUGGAGUAUAAAUAUCAGAGAAAGUUAAAUCUAACAUCUGUGGAUAUACUGUCAGAAAUAAAGGAAUACUGUAGGAAGACAUUUUUAGAAGUGAUGAUUUUCAAAUAACAAUUUGAGUCACUCUUAAUGACAUUUUUGCAAUAUUUUGCACCUAUUUCUUAGCAGCAAAGAAAUGACAAAGAGUUAACAAAACAUUUAUUCUUAUCUAGACAAUAUUCUUCAGUAAGUCUGGGGAAAUGCUCAUUAAAAGCCUCACAUGUUUACAGACCACAGUGCAUUAAUAGGAAUUCAAUUAAAUACUUAUUGCUUUUGUCAUUUAAAGUAAGUUAACCAGAUGGCAUGACAUUCUCCAAAAGAGAUUUUAAACAAACAGUGGAGAUUUAAUUAAUAUGCACCAGUUAACUCAUUAAAUAUGUAACAACUAGAUCAUUAAACUUAAGGUAAAUACUUAUUUGAGAUGAAUUGUCUAAUUUUCACAUUUAUCUUCAUUUUUCUUGACUGGUCAUGUUAUAAAUGGUAACUUUUAAAAUCUAAGACAUUUUAAAGUACAAAUAUUUUGUGUUUCUCAUAAUUCUUCCACCAAUGCUAAAAGGGAAACUGACAUUAUUUUCAUAGAAAAUGCAAAAUUGAAUUACUACAUAGUAACAACCAAAUGAUUUUAAUUUUUAUUCUAACUUAGAUGUAUCAAUUCACAUGUGCUACUUUAGAAGCAAAUAGUAAACCUUUCUCAUCUAUCGUUAGUACCUUUACAUAGAUUACACAGUAAUACUCACAGUAAAUUUUAAACACCUAACUUUUCCACUGUAUGCCUCUGUGUUACUUAUAUUAUAAUGGAGUUUUGUACCUUUGAACAAAGAAUUACUAUUCUUUAUCUGGUGAGAUCAUCAUUCUUGUCCUUUGAUAAAAAUGGCCAGGAAAGGGAGACAGUGUAGGAGAAUACAGGCCUAGCCAGACAUAUUGCCCGGGGAAGUAUGACAAGUUAACAGGCGGCACACCUUGUAGUCAGCGUGUUAGACGUCCAAGAAUAUAGGCUGCUUGUUUUCACAACUCUUAAGAUUAAGUAAUUCAUAUUUUAUAGAUUCAAACUAAUGAAAUAUUUGGACGCAGUUGCUUUGAAGUGUCUUACAGUUGGGACUCAUUAAAAUAACUAAACUACGUAUUAGAGUGGACCUAACCCUUUACUUAGGGCAUACCCUAGUAAAGGAUUCCUACUAUGAGUUUUCCAUUUAUAUUAACUAUUCUUAGAAUUAAAUUCCUAUUUUCAGCUUCACAGUGUAUAUUAAAUGAUUAAUUUCAUUUAUAACAUUCUUCUACCCUUGUUAACACAUACACACAUGCACACACAUUUUAUACUUAAUGUAAACUUUUUAAAAUAAAAAAACGUGAAAACAGCACCCUUAUAGACAAUCCCAGUUCUAAGAGACUCAAAACUAGUUUUUAUUCUGAAUAUAUCAUUAAAUAAUGCAAUUACAAAUAUAUAAAGCGUAAUAUCAAAGCUUUCUGCAAUUAGAUUAAGAGUUGUAUUAGGUUCAAGAUACAUGGGCUGUCAAUAGCAGCAUUUUCUAAUAUUUUGGAUAAAAAUGAUAAAGAUUAUACAUUUUGACAAUGCUGUUGUAAAGGUUAUGUAAUCAUGUAUUAAUUGCAUGCAGCCAUCUGCCUAUCUUUUCAAGCUUUUUGCAGGCAACCACUCUCUGGCCACUAGCUUCCUAUGUUGCCACACCAAAACCCUCCCAUUUUUUUAUCUAUCUACGACUUUCAAUUCUUAAGAUCCUAUCACCUUUUCACUGGUAUUACCCAUCUCCAGUGUCUUCUCUCAUCAUCUUAACCAGAUUAAAGUUCAUGGUGUGUCCGGAAUUGGUGGGUUCUUGGUCUCCCUGACUUCAAGAAUGAAGCCGCGGACCCUCGAAUCCUCACAGUUAGUGUUACAGUUCUUAAACAUCGUGUGUCCAGAAUUUGUUCCUUCUGGUGAGUUUGUGCUCCCAGUGACUUCAGGAGUGAAGCUACAGACCUUCGCGGUGAGUGUUACAGCUCAGUACACCUCAUAAAAGUGGUACAGACCCAAACGGUGACCAGCAGCAAGAUUUAGUGCAAACAGCAAAAGAACACAUCUUCCACACCCCCUAAGGGUACCGCUGCGGGUUGCCUCUGCUGGCUGGAGCAGCCUGCUUUUAUUCCCUUAUCUGAACCCACCAACAUCCUGCCGAUUGGUCCAUUUUGCAGAGAGCUGAUUGGUUCAUUUUUCAGAGAGCUGAUUGGUCCAUUUUUCAGAGAGCUGAUUGGUCCGUUUUGACAAGGUGCUGAUAGGUGCAUUUACAAACCUUUAGCUAGACACAGAGUGCUGAUUGGUGUGCUUUUACAAUCCUUUAGCUAAACAGAAAAGUUCUCCAAGUCCCCACUAGAUUAGCUAGACACACAGCGCUGAUUGGUGCAUUUACAAACCUUUAGCUAGACACAGAGUGCUGAUUGGUGCAUUUACAAACUUUUGGCUUGACAGAAAAGUUUUCUAAGUUCUCACCCUUCCCAGAAGCCCAGCCAGCUUCACCUCUCACUGGCACUCGCUGGGGGACUUUGCAGCACCUAGCCCAGGCACUCCAGCAGCCCAGAGGGAGUUCCUCCCCUGAUCAAGCCCAGCAGGCACCCACCAGCCCUGCAGAGUGCGGGGCCCUCCGAGUCUGUGCCCACCCGGAACCCGCGCUGGCCCGCGAGCGCCGUGUGCAGCCCCGGCUCCCGCCUGCGCCUUUUCCUCCACACCUCCCCGUGAGCAGAGGGAGCUGGCUCCGGCCUUGGCCAGCCCCAGAGAGGGGCCCCCACAGCGCAGCGGCGGGCUGAAGGGCCCCUCAGGCGUGGCCAGAGCGAAUGCCAAGGCCAAGGAGGCGCCGAGAGUGAGCGAGGGCUGCUGGCACGUUGUCACCUCUAAAUGGAUGAGGUAUCACUCUAUCGCCCAGGCUGGAAUACAGUGGUGUGAUCUCAGCUCACUGCAACCUCCACCUCCCUGGUUCAAGCUAUUAUCCUGCCUCAGCCUCCCAAGUAGCUGGGAUUACAGGCAAGUGCCACCGCACCUGGCUAAUUUUUGUACUUUUUAGUAGAAAUGGGGUUUCACCAUGUUGGCCACCCUCGAACUCCUGACCUCAAAUGAGCCAUCUGCCUUAGCCUCCCAAAGUGUUGGGAUUACAGGCAUGAGCUACUGCACCCUGCCUGUUGUAUGUUGUAUUCAUUUUCUGUGUCCCUUUACCAGAAUAUCAAUUGUAUGAAAUAAGAUUUUUUUCUUCACUUAGGAUAGAUUCUUAGCCCUUAAACUCUGUAUGACAUAUUGUAGACAUUAAGUAAAUGUUUGCUUAAUGAAUAAAGGACUACAUGCACAUUUUUUUAAAAAAAAAUCAAAUACUACAGAAACUGUUAGGAAAACUUUCUAAAGGGAAAACAACAUUAUCCACCUCUUGCCCCACCCAUUUUAUUCCUGGUUUUAUUUGCAGAUACAAUUAUGUGUUCUUCUAUCAGUUAGAAUCAUGUCACUAAAAAAAAAAAAACCUACCAAUUGUAUAUUUACAUAUCCAUUAUAAAUGUUAUUAAUUAACUCCUCAUUAUAGGAGAAAAGAAUUUAAUUUUACUUAUACUCUCCACAGUUUCAAUUUUUUCUAUAUUCUAUUUGUUGAAUGCUAAAGCAUAAAUUUCAGAGUUUAAAUACAAUUUUACAUUAUAUAAUUAAAUCUCAACUUUUGUCCAAUCAAAUUUCUAUAGUAUAUCAAAUUACUACUAUAUAAGGUUUCAUUUUCGUCACUUCUCCUCUUCCACCACCGAAAGUUCAUGAACUACACUUUUCAUUUGACAUUGUCAAGGCUGUAAUAUGUACGUACUCAUUUGCAAUCAUAAGUAUGCCAUCUGUGCUUUGCCUAUAAGGUAAUUGCAGACGUUAAAACCUAAGUUUAAAACUUAAUAAUCCAAUGUUUGUUUACAGCAGCAUGGCAGUCUAGAUACUAGCAAAGAUAUUCCCCUGGAAGUAAACAGAAUCUUUCAUUAGGUGUCUUUUUUUACAUCUUGCUGAUCUGAAAUAAAGUGAAUGAUUCUUCAAUGUCCAAAAUGAUGUUAAGGUAGGGAAUUAAAGUAGAAAGUUAAAAUGGGAAAGCUGGAAGUUAUGUAAAUAACAAGCUGGCUUUCACCCUGAUAAGUCUUGCCCGUCACUGGAGUCUUUAGACUUCUCUUUUGUUGGCUGCCUGAGUCACAGGGAUAAAAUAAAGCCUGUAGCCAAAAUAAAAUGAAAUGUCUAAACAGGAAAUCCACAUAUAAAACUAGAUUAACACAAAAGGUUAAACCCUCAAUGUAAAGGUGUACAAGAACUAAUUUUCCUUUGCAGAGGAGUCAUCAAACAGACUUGCUUGAUUCAUGUCAUGUGACAAUUCUUAAACAGAGUCUCAGUUACAUAUAGAUUUGUGCUUAGAAGUUUGCACUAAUUGUAUGGUCUUGAAAACCUCAAAUCUAACAUUAGUGUAAGGUAUUUACGAGUGAUCAUGGCUCCAGUGUUGAAAGAAGCCAAUGCAAAUCCUUUCUGGAAGAACCUACUUUCAUCUCUGGUGUCUAGCUAGGAUAAGGGGAAAAAAGCAGGGAAUUGAGAUCAGGUAAGCUUAUUCAGAGCACCUCUACCAUACUCACUUACAUGAGUGGCAGGUACAUGAGUCAUCACAGAGAGAUAGUAUACUAUGCAUAAAAGUUUUACAAUAUUGUGAACGUUUAAUUCACUUUUUUUAACCAAAACUAAUGCACGGCAUUUAUACUAAGAAUGAAAUGUCAGUAAGAGCUAAUAUUUCUGGAGUGUGUCAUGUGAUCUUCAUGUUGUGAUAACACUUUUUAUGAAGUAUCUUAUUUAAAAAUGUCUGAAAACAAUCCUUUAUAAUAAGCAUACUGUUUUACAGAUUAUAGAGAAAUAAAACACUUCCCUAAGGCCACACAAGUAGUUUAUGGUUGAGUCAGGAUUUUUAUCUUUAUUUUGAUUUAGUAAGAACGAGAUAUGUAAUGGAAUUAUGUUUUUUCUUGCCUGGGUCCAGUGUCAGAAUACCUGCUUUAUUCAAGAAUAAUGUUAAUGGUGGCGAUGUCAAAUGAAUUAUCUUUCCUGAAGCUCUCUUACUUGUUCUAAAACUUUUAGUGGGCUUCAGGUUUUGAUUUGUGCUUUUCACAUUUGAUUUCAAUUUUCAAGCAUUUUACCUGAUAAAAAUGAUUGCCACUAAGGAAUUUUAAAAAAUACAGAGAUUGAAAAUGUCAUCAAGGUAAGGUGGGCUCAAAAUUUUGGAGUGUGGGCAGGAAAAUGGAAUGGAAGUGGUGCUUUCUCUUGAGCCCAUGUUGCCAUGGGUGUUUUGCUCUGUUUUUUGUUUGUUUUGUUUCACUUUAGCAUCAGUAAGAAUAUCAAUUCUUUAUCUACUAUUACUGUCUUACUCUCAUCUUCUGAUUCCAGAAUCAGCUAACCUAAAAUAUAGAACUGCUACAAGAAACAGGUGUGUUAGCAAGUUAUCUUGAUAAUAAAAUUGCUUUGGAAAAUAACAUCACGAAUACAAUCAGAGUAGGCAGUGUUCUUCUGCUCAUUAUCCCAUGCCAUGGACUUAAUGUUUAUAUCAUUAGCCUCUUAGUCAUCUUUAUUUUAUUAAGCAUAUUAAUGUCCCAGAGCUAAAAUGCAAUGCCCCUUAUCCUUUUUCUGUUAUCAAGUAACUCCAUAAAAUUUAAAUCUCCCACAGUCCUAAAAAUGUUUUACUCAUAUAAUUGGCGUCACUUUGCUAUGGCAUUAAAACAUUCUUAGACGCAAAGGUCAUAUCAGCAAGAAUUCUUUAAGCACCAUAUUGGUAUUUUGAGGUGUUCAAAUAAGCAGAAGCCAUAAACACCUCUCUUUAGUUCACAAUUUUAGGUAGGAAAAGAAGAUUUGUUGAUAUAAUAUAAUAGACUUCCAUAGGACAGUAAAUCAAAAAUCAGUUAGGAUUUUAAUAACUUUGGUGGUUUUAAAACUUGUCUGAAGAUUCUUAGACACUCUUUAUAGCACAAUUAGGAGGUUAAUAUUCCUUCUCUUCAAUGUGAUCCAGCUUUAAUGACUUCCUUUUAAUGAACAGAAUGUGGCAGGAGUGACACUGCAUGAGGCUAACUCUUUGGAGGUGACACAUUUAUCCUGUUUCUCACUUCCUGCACAGGUGCCUUUUGAGCCCUGAGCUAGUGUAAAGAUGUGGCUACUCUGAAGCCACUGUAAUGGAGACAUGUGAAGAAACACCUAGAAACAGAAAGCGAUGACCAACGAGCACCAGCUAUUCCAAGGGCGACUUGUGUGAGACUUCCUUGCUCAACUCAAGACCUGUUAACUCAAAUCUACUGGGAGAAGCUGACUAUAAGAAGAGCAUCUGAUAGAUAUUCCAGCUCAGCUGCAUACAGAGACUUCAUCAGCUCAUGUCAUGCCCAGAGUUAGCCUUUCAGUUCCAAGGCUAUUUUUCCCAUUUCCUUAUUCACUGUGCUCCCUGACUUCAAGUUCAAUGCCAGGAUUGUGGAAUCAGGUCAUUUGAAUAAAACAUAAAAAGUAUUAUUAGGUACAGAGCUAAAUGUAGGUCAUAUUUGAGAACAAAUAAUAUUAUAUUUAAUCAUCUAAAAAAAGCUAAGAGGAAUUCUGUUAUCAAGGAAAUAUUUGUUUUCUUUGACUUAAAUGCUGCUUAUAGUCCUAAUAUUCCAUAGUUUCUUUGAAGCUAAUAUUUUGCUUUUAAUUAUGAAAAUCAGUUAGGAAUAUUGAGGUACACAGAUAAAAAUGGUAUUAGUAUAAACAUGCAAUUUAUAAAAUAGGAAAUCAAUGAUGCUAAUAAGCAUAAGAUAUACUCAAAAUUAUUAGUACUCACAAAAAUAAAAAUUAAAAAACACAGUAAGCUACUAUUUAUAUCUAUUUGGCUAAAAGAAUCAGAAAGCUGGAUAUUGCCUUACGCUAGCAGUGAUGUUGGUAUAUAGAAAUUCUGACACAUUUCUGAAGACAAUAUAGACUAAUAUAGCCAUUGUGAAGAGCAACCUGUAAAGUCAUUUAAAUGUGCAUAUAAUUUAUGAUUAGGGUAAACAUACAACUUUGAGAUUGAAAGAGGAAGCUAUUUAUAUUUACUCUGAGACAAUAAACUUAUUUCAAGCCUGUUCCAAGCAAGGUAACUGUAUAUGUCAACUUAUUUAUGACAGUAAUUUUGUUCUUAGGAACCGUAUUCCAAAGAAUUUUACUCAAAGAUCUAUAGAUGUAGGCAUACAAGAAUCAAUAUGGAAGAGUAGAAAAAUGAAUAUUUUUGUUAAUACUCAAACACUAACUGAAAUAAAACUAACUAAUUAAUUUAUAUUGAUACUCCCAGUUAUGGCAAUACAAUAGUAUAACUUUUUAUUAGUUCUUAUUUGAUUAUCGUGGGAUUUAAUAUUUUAAUAAAUUAAAUGGCUGUUAUUACUAAUUUCUUUUUGGUAAUUUUCUCUUUUUUCACUUGGUAUCUUGGUG
rnacentral:lncRNA from 1 species